GGGUGUGAUAGGUUGUGACUGGGCCUUCUGAUGUCUGCUUGCAUAAGCUUCCUCUUCCUCUCUCUGCAGCCUGGGAGGGAAAAGAAAGUAGUAGUUGCCAGAAAGACAGACGGACACAGGAGCAAGACAAAGAUAUAAAGAGCACUUUGAGCACAGGCCCUGCCAACCAGUGUUGCCAUAAAAACCACAUCCUUUCUUGCAAAGCAGUUCUGAUUGGUCCAGAUGGAUCCCACGCCGCUGGCUCAUCAUCCUUCACCAAAGAGACUGCUGGGGAGACCACAAGACAGGAAACUUAAACAACGAAAGCAAUAAGGAGCUUGCCAGGGUGAGGAGUAAGUUUGUGGAAAAUUCGUCCAAAGAACUCAUCAAUCAGCUGCUGGAUGACAUUUUAGAGGAUAAGAUCUUGAACGAUGGGGAGAAAGACUCAAUACUUGAGGAGAAUAGCAGCAGAGCAGACAAGGCACGGUGUCUCAUUGA